rnacentral:lncRNA from 1 species
AUAUAAAGGUAAAAUUUAACUUAUCUCUUAUAAAAUCAUACAGGAAACAUUAUCAAACAUAAAAUGAUGUUUGACUUUCUUUAUUCUAAAAACUAAUAAAAAUAGGUGCUAAAAAUUUUCCAAAUGAAAAUAAAUAUUGCUAAACCAAAGAGAAAUGUUAUCUAAGCCCCGUAUAAAAAAUAAAUAAAUCUUGUUCCAAUUGCAUCAAAAAACCCAUUAAGGGCCCUCCAGCACAGGGUUAAUACCAACGAGUUUCCACCUCCAGCUGCUCCUAGAGUGGCCACAGCAUGAGCCAUCUGGUGGGGGACCUAGCCGCCAACAGACACUUCCUGUACAGGGGAGGGGGGAGGGGGCCAGGCAGCCGUUAGACAGCACAACCGAACCCAACACCGGGGCCCAACGGCAGGGGCUUGGGCAGGAGCAAGGUCCGAGGGCUGCCAGGUCCACGCUGCUUUUAUGAGCUGUAACACUCACCGCGAAGAUCUGCAGCUUCACUCCUGAGCCCAGCGAGACCACGAGCCCACCGGGAGGAACAAACAACUCCAGACGCGCUGCCUUAAGAGCUGUAACACUUGCCGUGAAGGUCUGCAGCUUCACUCCUGAGCCAGCGAGACCACGAACCCACCAGAAGGAAGAAACUCCGAACACAUCUCAACAUCAGAACGGACAGACUCCAGACGCACCACCUUAAGAGCUGUAACACUCACCGCGAGGUUCCGCGGCUUCAUUCUUGAAGUUCGUGAGCCACACAUCUCCCCACACCAAGCUCCUCCAUACAAGACCUCGGACUGCAUCACGUAAAUGCUUUUUCAGGGGCAAAAUCUAGAGAAUCUGAAACGAGCUAUCAGCUUCCCAGUUUGCACAAUUCAUCAAGAAAUUAUGCGGGGUCACUGGCACAAAUGAUGAGGCAUCUCCUGGAAGCUUAACUUCUUAUCCAUCCCAUCUCUUGGACAGAUGAUGCCAGUUAAUUACUUUGAAUAGAAGACUCACUGGUGGCACCUGCAGCUGCGGCGUUUUCCCCAAGGGGUCUGUCACACGCAGCCCAACUCAACUGGAGUCCUGAGAAGGUGAACAGACCAGGAUGGAUGGCCAGGGAACUCACCAGAAGUCCCCAGGCAUCAGAACAAGGUCGAAGCAUCCUGAUUAGGGUACCAGAGGCCCAGGCAGUACUUUUGGGGUAGACGAGGUACAGACCUUUGGCUCCUCACUGUCUUCAAGCCCACAAGAAGCAUAGAGCAGAAGAAGACAGAGGAGGGCCCAUCUGGCCCACUACCUGUUCUUGUAAAUAAAGCUUUAUUGAAGCCAGGUGCUCACCUUCUAGCACAUUCUUCAAGAGUUACUCUGAGGCAAGCCAGCCGCCAUGUCAUGAGGACACUCAAGCAGCACCAUGGAGAGGUCCGAUGGCGAGGAACAGAGGAUCCCCCUGCCGACAGCCAAUGAGGAACAGGCCUCCUGCCAACAGCCGUGUAAGGGGUCACCUUGGAAGCCAAUGGCCCCUCCCUGGUCAGGCUUUUACAUGACUGCAGUCCUGGCCAACAUCCUGACGGCAACCUCAUGAGAGACCUUGAGCCAGAGCCACCCACCUAAGCUGCUUAUAGGUUCCUGGCCCUCAGAAAUCACAUGAGAUCAUAAAUGUUUGCUCAAUUUGAGAUAUUUGUGAUGUAGCAAUAAAUAACAAACACACUUA